rnacentral:rRNA from 1 species
GACCAGACUCCUACGGGAGGCAGCAGUGGGGAAUAUUGCACAAUGGGGGAAACCCUGAUGCAGCGACGCCGCGUGAGUGAAGAAGUAUUUCGGUAUGUAAAGCUCUAUCAGCAGGGAAGAGAAUGACGGUACCUGAUUAAGAAGCCCCGGCUAACUACGUGCCAGCAGCCGCGGUAAUACGUAGGGGGCAAGCGUUAUCCGGAUUUACUGGGUGUAAAGGGAGCGUAGACGGUGAUGCAAGUCAGAAGUGAAAGCCCGGGGCUCAACUCCGGGACUGCUUUUGAAACUGUGUGACUGGAGUGCAGGAGAGGUAAGCGGAAUUCCUGGUGUAGCGGUGAAAUGCGUAGAUAUUAGGAGGAACACCAGUGGCGAAGGCGGCCUACUGGACGACAACUGACGCUGAGGCUCGAAAGCGUGGGGAGCAGACAGGAUUAGAUACCCGGGUA